rnacentral:rRNA from 1 species
UACGUAGGGCGCAAGCGUUGUCCGGAAUCAUUGGGCGUAAAGAGCUCGUAGGCGGCCUGUUGCGUCCGCUGUGAAAUCCCGGGGCUUAACCCCUGGCGUGCAGUGGAUACGGGCAGACUAGAGUGCGGUAGGGGAGACUGGAAUUCCUGGUGUAGCGGUGAAAUGCGCAGAUAUCAGGAGGAACACCGGUGGCGAAGGCGGGUCUCUGGGCCGUAACUGACGCUGAGGAGCGAAAGCGUGGGGAGCGAACAGG